GUGUCUGCUUUGGCAACACAUAUACUAAAAUUGGAAAGAUACAGAGAAGAUUAGCAU
rnacentral:snRNA from 1 species